rnacentral:rRNA from 1 species
GAUGAACGCUGGCGGCGUGCUUAACACAUGCAAGUCGAACGGUGAAGGCGGAGCUUGCUCUGCUGGAUCAGUGGCGAACGGGUGAGUAACACGUGAGCAAUCUGCCCCUGACUCUGGGAUAAGCGCUGGAAACGGCGUCUAAUACUGGAUACGAGCUGCGAAGGCAUCUUCAGCAGCUGGAAAGAACUUCGGUCAGGGAUGAGCUCGCGGCCUAUCAGCUUGUUGGUGAGGUAACGGCUCACCAAGGCGUCGACGGGUAGCCGGCCUGAGAGGGUGACCGGCCACACUGUGACUGAGACACGGCCCAGACUCCUACGGGAGGCAGCAGUGGGGAAUAUUGCACAAUGGGCGAAAGCCUGAUGCAGCAACGCCUCGUGAGGGACGACGGCCUUCGGGUUGUAAACCUCUUUUAGCAGGGAAGAAGCGAAAGUGACUGUACCUGCAGAAAAAGCGCCGGCUAACUACGU